UCAAACAAGACAAUCGUUAUGCAGAUGAAAAGAUUGCUUUUAUUCUUGUUUUUAGGGUUUUUUGUGAUCACCAAUUUCAUGCAAAAAGCGAAAAGGGAAAACAAUUGGAAAAACAAAUGUUUAAACAUGCUUUAUUUGAAUGAAAAUAUCAUUGCACAAAAUGUUGCCAACAAUGUCAUCACUUCUCCUUUUGGCAUGGGAGAAGGGUUUUUAAACAAAGUGAUUA
rnacentral:lncRNA from 1 species